rnacentral:rRNA from 1 species
AUGCCUCACGAUGGAGCUCCGGAGUGCGGGCUGGAUGGUGUCGCCGGCGCAUGCACCCGGGGAGUUGCGGGCGCGGUCUCGCCGCCAUCCUCGCUGGGGCCGACCUGGGUGCCACGCCCCGCCCCAUUCCGCUGUGCGGACGUCGACGAUGACGAGGCCGAGGCGGGUGUCCGAGUGGAGUGGCAAGUAUCCCUUGCUCCGCCAUCCUUAGGCGAGUUCCUCGCGUUAGCUAAGCCCGCGGGCUCGCAGUUAGCGGUCUGGCGCGCGCCUACCGGCGGGGGCUGUAGGUUAGCCACUCCGGGCGGUUCGGCUCGUGGUCCUCAUUGCCGGUGCUGCUGGUGA